AGCCUGAUGAGCCAUGCCGCGUGUGUGAAGAAGGCCUUCGGGUUGUAAAGCACUUUCAGUCGUGAGGAAGGUAGUGUAGUUAAUAGCUGCAUUAUUUGACGUUAGCGACAGAAGAAGCACCGGCUAACUCCGUGCCAGCAGCCGCGGUAAUACGGAGGGUGCGAGCGUUAAUCGGAAUUACUGGGCGUAAAGCGCAUGCAGGUGGUUUGUUAAGUCAGAUGUGAAAGCCCGGGGCUCAACCUCGGAAUAGCAUUUGAAACUGGCAGACUAGAGUACUGUAGAGGGGGGUAGAAUUUCAGGUGUAGCGGUGAAAUGCGUAGAGAUCUGAAGGAAUACCGGUGGCGAAGGCGGCCCCCUGGACAGAUACUGACACUCAGAUGCGAAAGCGUGGGGAGCAAACAGGAUUAGAUACCCUGGUAGUCCACGCCGUAAACGAUGUCUACUUGGAGGUUGUGGCCUUGAGCCGUGGCUUUCGGAGCUAACGCGUUAAGUAGACCGCCUGGGGAGUACGGUCGCAAGAUUAAAACUCAAAUGAAUUGACGGGGGCCCGCACAAGCGGUGGAGCAUGUGGUUUAAUUCGAUGCAACGCGAAGAACCUUACCUACUCUUGACAUCCAGAGAACUUUCCAGAGAUGGAUUGGUGCCUUCGGGAACUCUGAGACAGGUGCUGCAUGGCUGUCGUCAGCUCGUGUUGUGAAAUGUUGGGUUAAGUCCCGCAACGAGCGCAACCCUUAUCCUUGUUUGCCAGCGAGUAAUGUCGGGAACUCCAGGGAGACUGCCGGUGAUAAACCGGAGGAAGGUGGGGACGACGUCAAGUCAUCAUGGCCCUUACGAGUAGGGCUACACACGUGCUACAAUGGCGCAUACAGAGGGCAGCAAGCUAGCGAUAGUGAGCGAAUCCCAAAAAGUGCGUCGUAGUCCGGAUUGGAGUCUGCAACUCGACUCCAUGAAGUCGGAAUCGCUAGUAAUCGUGGAUCAGAAUGCCACGGUGAAUACGUUCCCGGGCCUUGUACACACCGCCCGUCACACCAUGGGAGUGGGCUGCAAAAGAAGUAGGUAGUUUAACCUUCGGGAGGACGCUUACCACUUUGUGGUCAUGAUGGUGACGU
rnacentral:rRNA from 1 species